rnacentral:rRNA from 1 species
GACGAACGCUGGCGGCGUGCCUAAUACAUGCAAGUCGAACGCAGUGGGGACGGGUGAGUAACACGUGGGUAACCUCCCAUCAGAGGGGAUAACACUUGGAAACAGGUGCUAAACCGAUACUGAUGGAUGGAACCGCGGUGCAUUAGCUAGAUGGUGAGGUAACGGCUCACCAAGGCCACGUGGCAGAGCCGAUCGUAGAGUUGGAUCUGCCACACUGCGACUGAUGCACGCCCCAGACUCCUACGGGAUGCAGCAGGAGCGAUUCUUCGGCAAUGGACGAAAGUCUGACCGAGCAACGCCGCGUGAGUGAAGAAGGUUUUCGGAUCGUAAAACUCUGUUGUGAGAGAAGCGGUAUCUAACCAGAAAGCCACGGCUAACUACGUGCCAGCAGCCGCGGUAAUUC